GCUCCAGGACAGGCUUUCAGCUGUGACCUGCUUUCGAAGGCUGAUGUGCUCAGGAAGCCUGGAAGACACAAGUCCACAGUCAUUCUGCUCCAUGGGACACCAGGGGACCCAGGGACCCAAAUCCUAGCAGUCCAAGUAGGGACACACACCACAAGGUUGGCUGAAGAGGAGGGCAGCAGCGUGGAGGUAGAAUGGCGUCAGCUGUUUCUCUCUUUUUCCACCCCUCUGGGAGAAGGCAACGCAAGGAGGGCAAAGAAUUCUUGACCGGCACUGCUACAGAAUGGCUUCACGCUUCUUGAGCUGGCACGUAAUGGAACCUGACACCUUCCCUCUGUGACAAUCAGCAUGGGCUCUGCCUACGUUCCGCCGCCCACAUUUCUGGGACAUCUCAACCUAUACCACCCACUUGAUCCAGUAAACGAAUCUCCACUCUGCUUGA